UGGGGAAUAUUGCGCAAUGGGGGGAACCCUGACGCAGCCAUGCCGCGUGAAUGAAGAAGGCCUUCGGGUUGUAAAGUUCUUUCGGUAUUGAGGAAGGUUGAUGUGUUAAUAGCACAUCAAAUUGACGUUAAAUACAGAAGAAGCACCGGCUAACUCCGUGCCAGCAGCCGCGGUAAUACGGAGGGUGCGAGCGUUAAUCGGAAUAACUGGGCGUAAAGGGCACGCAGGCGGUUAUUUAAGUGAGGUGUGAAAGCCCCGGGCUUAACCUGGGAAUUGCAUUUUAGACUGGGUAACUAGAGUACUUUAGGGAGGGGUAGAAUUCCACGUGUAGCGGUGAAAUGCGUAGAGAUGUGGAGGAAUACCGAUGGCGAAGGCAGCUCCCUGGCAUCAUACUGACACUGAGGUGCGAAAGCGUGGGUAGCAAACAGGAUUAGAUACCCUGGUAGUCCACGCCGUAAACGAUGUCUACCAGUCGUUGGGUCUUUUAAAGACUUAGUGACGCAGUUAACGCAAUAAGUAGACCGCCUGGGGAGUACGGCCGCAAGGUUA
rnacentral:rRNA from 1 species